GAUGAAGAACGUAGCGAAAUGCGAUACUUGGUGUGAAUUGCAGAAUCCCGCGAAUCAUCGAGUUUUUGAACGCAAGUUGCGCCCGAAGCCAUUCGGCCGAGGGCACGUCUGCCUGGGUGUCACGCAUCGUUGCCCCCCCAAACUCCGGUUCGGGCGGGGCGGAAGUUGGCCUCCCGUGCGUGCCUGCGCGCGCGGUUAGCCCAAAAGCGAGUCCUCGGCGACGAGCGCCACGACAAUCGGUGGUUUUUUUACCCUCGUUCCUCGUCGUGCGUGUCCCGUCGCCCGAACGCGCUCUUGCGACCCUCACGCGUCGCCUCGGCGGCGCUCCCAACGCGACCCCAGGUCAGGCGGGACUACCCGCUGAGUUUAAGCAUAUCAAUAAGCGGAGG
rnacentral:misc_RNA from 1 species